AGCCCCGUCGUCUAGUGGACACACAGCGCCACAGUAGGAUACGGCCCUUUGGAGGCUGUGACCUCGGUUCGAAUCCGAGCGGGGCUA
rnacentral:tRNA from 1 species